GACGAACGCUGGCGGCGUGCUUAACACAUGCAAGUCGAACGGAAAGGCCCUGCUUGCAGGGUGCUCGAGUGGCGAACGGGUGAGUAACACGUGGGUGAUCUGCCCCUUACUUUGGGAUAAGCCUGGGAAAUUGGGUCUAAUACUGGAUAGGACCAUGCUGUAGGUGGUGUGGUGGAAAGAUUAGUUUCGGUAAGGGAUGAGCUCGCGGCCUAUCAGCUUGUUGGUGGGGUAAUGGCCUACCAAGGCGUCGACGGGUAGCCGGCCUGAGAGGGUGGACGGCCACAUUGGGACUGAGAUACGACCCAGACUCCUACGGGAGGCAGCAGUGGGGAAUAUUGCACAAUGGGCGCAAGCCUGAUGCAGCGACGCCGCGUGGGGGAUGACGGCCUUCGGGUUGUAAACUCCUUUCAGCCAUGACGAAGCCCUUGUGGUGACGGUAGUGGUAGAAGAAGCACCGGCUAACUACGUG
rnacentral:rRNA from 1 species